UACGAAGGGGGGCUAGCGUUGCUCGGAAUCACUGGGCGUAAAGGGUGCGUAGGCGGCGCCGUAAGUCAGGUGUGAAAUUUCGGAGCUUAACUCCGAAACUGCAUUUGAUACUGCGGUGCUUGAGGACUGGGAGAGGAGACUGGAAUUCCUGGUGUAGCGGUGAAAUGCGCAGAUAUCAGGAGGAACACCGGUGGCGAAGGCGGGUCUCUGGGCCGGAUACUGACGUGGAGGAGCGAAAGCGUGGGGAGCAAACAGG
rnacentral:rRNA from 1 species